UGCGUAGGCGGCAGAGCAAGUCAGAUGUGAAAUACACGGGCUUAACCCGUGGGCUGCAUUUGAAACUGUUCAGCUUGAGUGAAGCAGAGGCAGGCGGAAUUCCCGGUGUAGCGGUGAAAUGCGUAGAGAUCGGGAGGAACACCAGUGGCGAAGGCGGCCUGCUGGGCUUUAACUGACGCUGAGGCACGAAAGCGUGGGUAGCAAACA
rnacentral:rRNA from 1 species